GGCUGGUCUGAAUGGCAGUGGGAUGUCAGAACCUACUAACCUUAGUGUCACUGUAGUUGGCAUACAACCCGCCCCCCACUGCUAAAUUUGACUAGCUUUUU
rnacentral:Y_RNA from 1 species